GACGAACGCUGGCGGCGUGCUUAACACAUGCAAGUCGAGCGGAAAGGCCCACUUGUGGGUACUCGAGCGGCGAACGGGUGAGUAACACGUGAGUAAUCUGCCCUUCACUCUGGGAUAACGUUCAGAAAUGGGUGCUAAUACCGGAUGUACACAUGGUCUCGCAUGGGGUUGUGUGGAAAGGUUUUUUCUGGUGGUGGAUGUGCUCGCGGCCUAUCAGCUUGUUGGUGGGGUAAUGGCCUACCAAGGCUUUGACGGGUAGCCGGCCUGAGAGGGUGACCGGCCCAACUUGGACUGAGACACGGCCCAGACUCCUACGGGAGGCAGCAGUGGGGAAUAUUGGACAAUGGGCGGAAGCCUGAUCCAGCAACGCCGCGUGAGGGAUGACGGCCUUCGGGUUGUAAACCUCUUUCACCAUUGACGAAGCUGCAUUCUUUUGGGUGUGGUGACGGUAGGUGGGGAAGAAGCACCGGCCAACUACGUGCCAGCCGCCGCUGUAAAAC
rnacentral:rRNA from 1 species